AUUGUACGCUGGCGGCAUGCCUUACACAUGCAAGUCGAACGGUAACAGGUCUUCGGAUGCUGACGAGUGGCGAACGGGUGAGUAAUACAUCGGAACGUGCCUAGUAGUGGGGGUUAACUACUCGAAAGAGUGGCUAAUACCGCAUGAGAUCUACGGAUGAAAGCAGGGGAUCGCAAGACCUUGUGCUACUAGAGCGGCCGAGGGCAGAUUAGGUAGUUGGUGGGAUAAAAGCUUACCAAGCCGACGAUCUGUAGCUGGUCUGAGAGGCCGAUCAGCCACACUGGGACGGAGACACGGCCCAGACUCCUACGGGAGGCAGCAGUGGGGAAUUUUGGACAAUGGGCGAAAGCCUGAUCCAGCAAUGCCGCGUGCAGGAUGAAGGCCUUCGGGUUGUAAACUGCUUUUGUACGGAACGAAAAGCCCCGGGUUAAUACCCUGGGGUCAUGACGGUACCGUAAGAAUAAGCACCGGCUAACUACGAGCCAGCCGCCGCCGUAA
rnacentral:rRNA from 1 species